CGGCAUUGCUGGCGUUCAGAGACAUUGUCAAUGAUUGCAGAGACUUUGUCCAUAAUCUCAGAGACAUUGUCUGCGAUCACAGAGACGUAGUCCACGAUCUCAGAGAGUCUUUGUACAAUGAAGAAGUUCUGUGAGACCAGGACAGAGGCCUCCAGGUGUCACCACUUCGUCCACGAUCGCAAAGACAUGGUCCAUGAUUGGAGAGACAUUGUUGAGGAUGAGGGAGACAUCGUCCACGAUUGGAGACAUUGUCAUUGACUCGUGGUGACUCGGUCCCCGAUUAGUCGGCAUUGCCGGCGUUCAGAGACAUUGUCGAUGAUCGCAGAGACUUUGUCCAUAAUCUCAGAGACAUUGUCUGCGAUCACAGAGACGUAGUCCACGAUCUCAGAGGCGUCAACGAUCACAGAGACAUGGUCCAUGAUCGGAGAGACAUUGUUGAGGAUGAGGGAGACAUCGUCCACGAUCAGAGACGUUGUCUGUGAUCGCAGAGACCUUGUCAAAGAUGAAAGAGACGUUGUCCAUGAUCAGAGACAUUGUCGCUGCUUCGCAGAGCUCUGUACAAGAAUCGGUAGUGACACUGUGGUUCCUCGAUUCGACGGCAUGACCGCGAUCAGCUGGCAUUGUUAAUGGUCACAGAGAAACAGUCUAUCAUCUUAGAGACAUCGUCCACGAUCACAGACACAUUGUCAAUGAUCGCAGAGACUUUGUCUAUAAUCUCAGAGACAUUGUCCGCGAUUACAGAGACGUAGUCCACGAUCACAGAGAGUCUUUGUACAAUGAAGAAAUUCUGUGAGACCAGGACAGAGGCCUCCAGGUGUCACCACUUCGUCCACCACAUCGUCCACGAUCGCAAAGACAUGGUCCAUGAUCGGAGAGACAUUGUUGAGGAUGAGGGAGACAUCGUCCACGAUCGGAGACAUUGUCCAUGACUUGUGGUGACUCGGUCCCCGAUUAGUCGGCAUUGCUGGCGUUCAGAGACAUUGUCAAUGAUCGCAGAGACUUUGUCCAUAAUCUCAGAGACAUUGUCCACGAUCACAGAGACGUAGUCCACGAUCUCAGAGAGUCUUUGUACAAUGAAGAAGUUCUGUGAGACCAGGACAGAGGCCUCCAGGUGUCACCACUUCGUCCAUGAUCGCAAAGACAUGGUCCAUGAUCGGAGAGACAUUGUUGAGGAUGAGGGAGACAUCGUCCUCGAUCGGAGACAUUGUCCAUGACUCGUGGUGACUCGGUCCCCGAUUAGUCGGCAUUGCUGGCGUUCAGAGACAUUGUCGAUGAUCGCAGAGACUUUGUCCAUAAUCUCAGAGACAUUGUCCGCGAUCACAGAGACGUAGUCCACGAUCUCAGAGACGUCAACGAUCACAGAGACAUGGUCCAUGAUCGGAGAGACAUUGUUGAGGAUGAGGGAGACAUCGUCCACGAUCAGAGACGUUGUCUGUGAUCGCAGAGACCUUGUCAAAGAUGAAAGAGACGUUGUCCAUGAUCAGAGACAUUGUCGCUGCUUCGCAGAGCUCUGUACAAGAAUCGGUAGUGACACUGUGGUUCCUCGAUUCGACGGCAUGACCGCGAUCAGCUGGCAUUGUUAAUGGUCACAGAGAAACAGUCUAUCAUCUUAGAGACAUCGUCCACGAUCACAGACACAUUGUCAAUGAUCGCAGAGACUUUGUCUAUAAUCUCAGAGACAUUGUCCGCGAUUACAGAGACGUAGUCCACGAUCACAGAGAGUCUUUGUACAAUGAAGAAGUUCUGUGAGACCAGGACAGAGGCCUCCAGGUGUCACCACUUCGUCCACCACAUCGUCCACGAUCGCAAAGACAUGGUCCAUGAUCGGAGAGACAUUGUUGAGGAUGAGGGAGACAUCGUCCACGAUCGGAGACAUUGUCCAUGACUUGUGGUGACUCGGUCCCCGAUUAGUCGGCAUUGCUGGCGUUCAGAGACAUUGUCAAUGAUCGCAGAGACUUUGUCCAUAAUCUCAGAGACAUUGUCCACGAUCACAGAGACGUAGUCCACGAUCUCAGAGAGUCUUUGUACAAUGAAGAAGUUCUGUGAGACCAGGACAGAGGCCUCCAGGUGUCACCACUUCGUCCAUGAUCGCAAAGACAUGGUCCAUGAUCGGAGAGACAUUGUUGAGGAUGAGGGAGACAUCGUCCUCGAUCGGAGACAUUGUCCAUGACUCGUGGUGACUCGGUCCCCGAUUAGUCGGCAUUGCUGGCGUUCAGAGACAUUGUCGAUGAUCGCAGAGACUUUGUCCAUAAUCUCAGAGACAUUGUCCGCGAUCACAGAGACGUAGUCCACGAUCUCAGAGACGUCAACGAUCACAGAGACAUGGUCCAUGAUCGGAGAGACAUUGUUGAGGAUGAGGGAGACAUCGUCCACGAUCAGAGACGUUGUCUGUGAUCGCAGAGACCUUGUCAAAGAUGAAAGAGACGUUGUCCAUGAUCAGAGACAUUGUCGCUGCUUCGCAGAGCUCUGUACAAGAAUCGGUAGUGACACUGUGGUUCCUCGAUUCGACGGCAUGACCGCGAUCAGCUGGCAUUGUUAAUGGUCACAGAGAAACAGUCUAUCAUCUUAGAGACAUCGUCCACGAUCACAGACACAUUGUCAAUGAUCGCAGAGACUUUGUCUAUAAUCUCAGAGACAUUGUCCGCGAUUACAGAGACGUAGUCCACGAUCACAGAGAGUCUUUGUACAAUGAAGAAGUUCUGUGAGACCAGGACAGAGGCCUCCAGGUGUCACCACUUCGUCCACCACAUCGUCCACGAUCGCAAAGACAUGGUCCAUGAUCGGAGAGACAUUGUUGAGGAUGAGGGAGACAUCGUCCACGAUCGGAGACAUUGUCCAUGACUUGUGGUGACUCGGUCCCCGAUUAGUCGGCAUUGCUGGCGUUCAGAGACAUUGUCAAUGAUCGCAGAGACUUUGUCCAUAAUCUCAGAGACAUUGUCCACGAUCACAGAGACGUAGUCCACGAUCUCAGAGAGUCUUUGUACAAUGAAGAAGUUCUGUGAGACCAGGACAGAGGCCUCCAGGUGUCACCACUUCGUCCAUGAUCGCAAAGACAUGGUCCAUGAUCGGAGAGACAUUGUUGAGGAUGAGGGAGACAUCGUCCUCGAUCGGAGACAUUGUCCAUGACUCGUGGUGACUCGGUCCCCGAUUAGUCGGCAUUGCUGGCGUUCAGAGACAUUGUCGAUGAUCGCAGAGACUUUGUCCAUAAUCUCAGAGACAUUGUCCGCGAUCACAGAGACGUAGUCCACGAUCUCAGAGACGUCAACGAUCACAGAGACAUGGUCCAUGAUCGGAGAGACAUUGUUGAGGAUGAGGGAGACAUCGUCCACGAUCAGAGACGUUGUCUGUGAUCGCAGAGACCUUGUCAAAGAUGAAAGAGACGUUGUCCAUGAUCAGAGACAUUGUCGCUGCUUCGCAGAGCUCUGUACAAGAAUCGGUAGUGACACUGUGGUUCCUCGAUUCGACGGCAUGACCGCGAUCAGCUGGCAUUGUUAAUGGUCACAGAGAAACAGUCUAUCAUCUUAGAGACAUCGUCCACGAUCACAGACACAUUGUCAAUGAUCGCAGAGACUUUGUCUAUAAUCUCAGAGACAUUGUCCGCGAUUACAGAGACGUAGUCCACGAUCACAGAGAGUCUUUGUACAAUGAAGAAGUUCUGUGAGACCAGGACAGAGGCCUCCAGGUGUCACCACUUCGUCCACCACAUCGUCCACGAUCGCAAAGACAUGGUCCAUGAUCGGAGAGACAUUGUUGAGGAUGAGGGAGACAUCGUCCUCGAUCGGAGACAUUGUCCAUGACUCGUGGUGACUCGGUCCCCGAUUAGUCGGCAUUGCUGGCGUUCAGAGACAUUGUCGAUGAUCGCAGAGACUUUGUCCAUAAUCUCAGAGACAUUGUCCGCGAUCACAGAGACGUAGUCCACGAUCUCAGAGACGUCAACGAUCACAGAGACAUGGUCCAUGAUCGGAGAGACAUUGUUGAGGAUGAGGGAGACAUCGUCCACGAUCAGAGACGUUGUCUGUGAUCGCAGAGACCUUGUCAAAGAUGAAAGAGACGUUGUCCAUGAUCAGAGACAUUGUCGCUGCUUCGCAGAGCUCUGUACAAGAAUCGGUAGUGACACUGUGGUUCCUCGAUUCGACGGCAUGACCGCGAUCAGCUGGCAUUGUUAAUGGUCACAGAGAAACAGUCUAUCAUCUUAGAGACAUCGUCCACGAUCACAGACACAUUGUCAAUGAUCGCAGAGACUUUGUCUAUAAUCUCAGAGACAUUGUCCGCGAUUACAGAGACGUAGUCCACGAUCACAGAGAGUCUUUGUACAAUGAAGAAGUUCUGUGAGACCAGGACAGAGGCCUCCAGGUGUCACCACUUCGUCCACCACAUCGUCCACGAUCGCAAAGACAUGGUCCAUGAUCGGAGAGACAUUGUUGAGGAUGAGGGAGACAUCGUCCACGAUCGGAGACAUUGUCCAUGACUUGUGGUGACUCGGUCCCCGAUUAGUCGGCAUUGCUGGCGUUCAGAGACAUUGUCAAUGAUCGCAGAGACUUUGUCCAUAAUCUCAGAGACAUUGUCCACGAUCACAGAGACGUAGUCCACGAUCUCAGAGAGUCUUUGUACAAUGAAGAAGUUCUGUGAGACCAGGACAGAGGCCUCCAGGUGUCACCACUUCGUCCAUGAUCGCAAAGACAUGGUCCAUGAUCGGAGAGACAUUGUUGAGGAUGAGGGAGACAUCGUCCUCGAUCGGAGACAUUGUCCAUGACUCGUGGUGACUCGGUCCCCGAUUAGUCGGCAUUGCUGGCGUUCAGAGACAUUGUCGAUGAUCGCAGAGACUUUGUCCAUAAUCUCAGAGACAUUGUCCGCGAUCACAGAGACGUAGUCCACGAUCUCAGAGACGUCAACGAUCACAGAGACAUGGUCCAUGAUCGGAGAGACAUUGUUGAGGAUGAGGGAGACAUCGUCCACGAUCAGAGACGUUGUCUGUGAUCGCAGAGACCUUGUCAAAGAUGAAAGAGACGUUGUCCAUGAUCAGAGACAUUGUCGCUGCUUCGCAGAGCUCUGUACAAGAAUCGGUAGUGACACUGUGGUUCCUCGAUUCGACGGCAUGACCGCGAUCAGCUGGCAUUGUUAAUGGUCACAGAGAAACAGUCUAUCAUCUUAGAGACAUCGUCCACGAUCACAGACACAUUGUCAAUGAUCGCAGAGACUUUGUCUAUAAUCUCAGAGACAUUGUCCGCGAUUACAGAGACGUAGUCCACGAUCACAGAGAGUCUUUGUACAAUGAAGAAGUUCUGUGAGACCAGGACAGAGGCCUCCAGGUGUCACCACUUCGUCCACCACAUCGUCCACGAUCGCAAAGACAUGGUCCAUGAUCGGAGAGACAUUGUUGAGGAUGAGGGAGACAUCGUCCACGAUCGGAGACAUUGUCCAUGACUUGUGGUGACUCGGUCCCCGAUUAGUCGGCAUUGCUGGCGUUCAGAGACAUUGUCAAUGAUCGCAGAGACUUUGUCCAUAAUCUCAGAGACAUUGUCCACGAUCACAGAGACGUAGUCCACGAUCUCAGAGAGUCUUUGUACAAUGAAGAAGUUCUGUGAGACCAGGACAGAGGCCUCCAGGUGUCACCACUUCGUCCACGAUCGCAAAGACAUGGUCCAUGAUCGGAGAGACAUUGUUGAGGAUGAGGGAGACAUCGUCCACGAUCGGAGACAUUGUCAUUGACUCGUGGUGACUCGGUCCCCGAUUAGUCGGCAUUGCCGGCGUUCAGAGACAUUGUCGAUGAUCGCAGAGACUUUGUCCAUAAUCUCAGAGACAUUGUCUGCGAUCACAGAGACGUAGUCCACGAUCUCAGAGGCGUCAACGAUCACAGAGACAUGGUCCAUGAUCGGAGAGACAUUGUUGAGGAUGAGGGAGACAUCGUCCACGAUCAGAGACGUUGUCUGUGAUCGCAGAGACCUUGUCAAAGAUGAAAGAGACGUUGUCCAUGAUCAGAGACAUUGUCGCUGCUUCGCAGAGCUCUGUACAAGAAUCGGUAGUGACACUGUGGUUCCUCGAUUCGACGGCAUGACCGCGAUCAGCUGGCAUUGUUAAUGGUCACAGAGAAACAGUCUAUCAUCUUCGAGACAUCGUCCACGAUCACAGACACAUUGUCAAUGAUCGCAGAGACUUUGUCUAUAAUCUCAGAGACAUUGUCCGCGAUUACAGAGACGUAGUCCACGAUCACAGAGAGUCUUUGUACAAUGAAGAAGUUCUGUGAGACCAGGACAGAGGCCUCCAGGUGUCACCACUUCGUCCACGAUCGCAAAGACAUGGUCCAUGAUCGGAGAGACAUUGUUGAGGAUGAGGGAGACAUCGUCCACGAUCGGAGACAUUGUCCAUGACUCGUGGUGACUCGGUCCCCGAUUAGUCGGCAUUGCCGGCGUUCAGAGACAUUGUCGAUGAUCGCAGAGACUUUGUCCAUAAUCUCAGAGACAUUGUCUGCGAUCACAGAGACGUAGUCCACGAUCUCAGAGGCGUCAACGAUCACAGAGACAUGGUCCAUGAUCGGAGAGACAUUGUUGAGGAUGAGGGAGACAUCGUCCACGAUCAGAGACGUUGUCUGUGAUCGCAGAGACCUUGUCAAAGAUGAAAGAGACGUUGUCCAUGAUCAGAGACAUUGUCGCUGCUUCGCAGAGCUCUGUACAAGAAUCGGUAGUGACACUGUGGUUCCUCGAUUCGACGGCAUGACCGCGAUCAGCUGGCAUUGUUAAUGGUCACAGAGAAACAGUCUAUCAUCUUAGAGACAUCGUCCACGAUCACAGACACAUUGUCAAUGAUCGCAGAGACUUUAUCUAUAAUCUCAGAGACAUUGUCCGCGAUUACAGAGACGUAGUCCACGAUCACAGAGAGUCUUUGUACAAUGAAGAAAUUCUGUGAGACCAGGACAGAGGCCUCCAGGUGUCACCACUUCGUCCACCACAUCGUCCACGAUCGCAAAGACAUGGUCCAUGAUCGGAGAGACAUUGUUGAGGAUGAGGGAGACAUCGUCCACGAUCGGAGACAUUGUCCAUGACUUGUGGUGACUCGGUCCCCGAUUAGUCGGCAUUGCUGGCGUUCAGAGACAUUGUCAAUGAUCGCAGAGACUUUGUCCAUAAUCUCAGAGACAUUGUCCAUGAUCACAGAGACGUAGUCCACGAUCUCAGAGAGUCUUUGUACAAUGAAGAAGUUCUGUGAGACCAGGACAGAGGCCUCCAGGUGUCACCACUUCGUCCACGAUCGCAAAGACAUGGUCCAUGAUCGGAGAGACAUUGUUGAGGAUGAGGGAGACAUCGUCCACGAUCGGAGACAUUGUCCAUGACUCGUGGUGACUCGGUCCCCGAUUAGUCGGCAUUGCCGGCGUUCAGAGACAUUGUCAAUGAUCGCAGAGACUUUGUCCAUAAUCUCAGAGACAUUGUCUGCGAUCACAGAGACGUAGUCCACGAUCUCAGAGGCGUCAACGAUCACAGAGACAUGGUCCAUGAUCGGAGAGACAUUGUUGAGGAUGAGGGAGACAUCGUCCACGAUCAGAGACGUUGUCUGUGAUCGCAGAGACCUUGUCAAAGAUGAAAGAGACGUUGUCCAUGAUCAGAGACAUUGUCGCUGCUUCGCAGAGCUCUGUACAAGAAUCGGUAGUGACACUGUGGUUCCUCGAUUCGACGGCAUGACCGCGAUCAGCUGGCAUUGUUAAUGGUCACAGAGAAACAGUCUAUCAUCUUCGAGACAUCGUCCACGAUCACAGACACAUUGUCAAUGAUCGCAGAGACUUUGUCUAUAAUCUCAGAGACAUUGUCCGCGAUUACAGAGACGUAGUCCACGAUCACAGAGAGUCUUUGUACAAUGAAGAAGUUCUGUGAGACCAGGACAGAGGCCUCCAGGAGGAGAAGACUGCAUCAUCUGAAGAGGACAACAAGAAUAGUAAAAUGUUCUUGAAGAUGUCUAGAGAUGUAUAAGAUUUUAAUAAGCAUGUCCUCAUAUGUGAUCAUCACUACAUGAAAUGUGGGGUGAGAGAAUAAAAAGAUGUGUCUCCAAGUGGUCAAAUAUCUGUCAUUAUCUUUACUGUGGUUUGUUAAAUGUUGUCUGUAACAGAAUCAAUAAAGUUGUUGCUUAACUUUUGA